rnacentral:rRNA from 1 species
ACGCUGGCGGCGUGCCUAAUACAUGCAAGUAGAACGCUGAAGGAGGAGCUUGCUUCUCUGGAUGAGUUGCGAACGGGUGAGUAACGCGUAGGUAACCUGCCUGGUAGCGGGGGAUAACUAUUGGAAACGAUAGCUAAUACCGCAUAAUAGUAGAUGUUGCAUGACAUUUGCUUAAAAGAUGCAAUUGCACCACUACCAGAUGGACCUGCGUUGUAUUAGCUAGUUGGUGGGGUAACGGCUCACCAAGGCGACGAUACAUAGCCGACCUGAGAGGGUGAUCGGCCACACUGGGACUGGGACACGGCCCAGACUCCUACGGGAGGCAGCAGUAGGGAAUCUUCGGCAAUGGACGAAAGUCUGACCGAGCAACGCCGCGUGAGUGAAGAAGGUUUUCGGAUCGUAAAGCUCUGUUGUAAGAGAAGAACGAGUGUGAGAGUGGAAAGUUCACACUGUGACGGUAUCUUACCAGAAAGGGACGGCUAACUACGUGCCAGCAGCCGCGGUAAUACGUAGGUCCCGAGCGUUGUCCGGAUUUAUUGGGCGUAAAGCGAGCGCAGGCGGUUAGAUAAGUCUGAAGUUAAAGGCUGUGGCUUAACCAUAGUACGCUUUGGAAACUGUUUAACUUGAGUGCAAGAGGGGAGAGUGGAAUUCCAUGUGUAGCGGUGAAAUGCGUAGAUAUAUGGAGGAACACCGGUGGCGAAAGCGGCUCUCUGGCUUGUAACUGACGCUGAGGCUCGAAAGCGUGGGGAGCAAACAGGAUUAGAUACCCUGGUAGUCCACGCCGUAAACGAUGAGUGCUAGGUGUUAGACCCUUUCCGGGGUUUAGUGCCGCAGCUAACGCAUUAAGCACUCCGCCUGGGGAGUACGACCGCAAGGUUGAAACUCAAAGGAAUUGACGGGGGCCCGCACAAGCGGUGGAGCAUGUG